rnacentral:rRNA from 1 species
UGGGGAAUAUUGCACAAUGGGCGGAAGCCUGAUGCAGCGACGCCGCGUGAGGGAUGACGGCCUUCGGGUUGUAAACCUCUUUCAGCUCCGACGAAGCGAGAGUGACGGUAGGAGCAGAAGAAGCACCGGCCAACUACGUGCCAGCAGCCGCGGUAAUACGUAGGGUGCAAGCGUUGUCCGGAAUUACUGGGCGUAAAGAGCUCGUAGGCGGUUUGUCGCGUCGUCUGUGAAAACCAGCAGCUCAACUGUUGGCGUGCAGGCGAUACGGGCAGACUUGAGUAUUUCAGGGGAGACUGGAAUUCCUGGUGUAGCGGUGAAAUGCGCAGAUAUCAGGAGGAACACCGGUGGCGAAGGCGGGUCUCUGGGAAAUAACUGACGCUGAGGAGCGAAAGCGUGGGUAGCGAACA